UAGUCUAGCACUGUGUCUUUGCUCCACAAACGAUAUAGGGUCUGUGCAGAGAGAGUGAGGAGCUACUUCUUUCAUGCAGAAAGAGAGUGAGAGACACAUAGGCCUAAGGGAGUAGAGGAAAAAGUUCCAAUUUUCUUUCAUAUUGCAAGAACAGCAAGAUCCAAUAUGAAAUUUUCAGUUCGAUAUCUCUGUUAAUUCCCUUUAUGCUCGGAUCGAUUAUCCGCCAGAGUUUUGUUCUUGGUCCUCAAUUUUUAUUUUAUUAGUUCUGAUAUUCAUGAUGUAUCUCAAUUUAUUGGUUUCUGCAUGGGAAAGGGUGGUUUUAUUGGGAUUUUCGAUGAGCAAAGCAUAUGUUUCUCUCUGAACUUUAGUUUUUCAGUUUGUUUUUCCAUCAUUUUAGCGGUAGUUCUGUGUAUUUACAGUUGUUUCCGGUUUGAUUUGUGGUUUGGGUGAGUGGUUUUUGUGAUUGGUGUGUUGUUUUUUUGUUUUUGUUUUUGUUUUUGUUGGUGUUCGAUCUAUGGUGUUUAGUUGGUAAUUUGGAUCUGGUUUGUAAGGCUGAGUUAUUCAUGGGUUUGAUAAAUUAAGUGUUUUGUUUGACUGGAAAUUCUCUUUGUGGGUUUUUGGUUCUUUCUGAUUUCUCUUGCAUUGGUUUUUGGUUCUUUGAAAAUUCAGCAAUUUAAAAUUUAAACCCAAAGUCUUCCAAUACAGAAGGACAUCGUAACCCCUGCUGUAUUAUGUUCAAUUCAUGCCAAAUCUGAGGUGUGUUUUUGCUCUAUAUUAUGUUGUUUUGAAGUUUCUCUUUUUUCCAUUAUUUGCAGUGUUUAUAAAGGCUUAGCUACUGUAGUGAAAGAGAGAAGAAGGCAAAUCAUUUUGUGUUUCCUUUGUAAAGGAUAUGUUUGUUGGAACAAGGGACAACGUUGAAAACCAAUCUUGGUCUAAAGACCAAGAUAGUGGCAACAUCCAUUCAUUUUAUGAUAUUGCUGCUAAUCCACUUGAUAAACAAGCAUCUGGAUCAAAAUCUGAUAAGAGGAAGCGAUUAAUGUUAAAGAGUUCCGUUGAUAGCAGUAUUCAAGUGAGAGCAUCGCUACUAAAAUCAGACAAGAGGAAGCAGUUAAUAUCACAAGGUGGAGUUAAUAAUGAGUGCAUGAACAAUUUACUUGGAUGUGAGUUGCAAGCUGGGGCAAGUAAAAUUGGCCAAGCCUCAUAUCAAAAAAGUAUUCAAGGGACUGUGACAUGAUAUAUUGUUGUUGUUAUUGCAACGCACUGUUCUGGAGAAAUGAAUCAAAGAAACAGAGCAGCAAGAAUAAACCGCCAAUUUUUACACAUUGCUGCCGAGAGGGCAAGAUAUGCCUGCCACCAGAGCCUGACACUCCGGAAUUUCUAGAUAAGUUAUUGGAUCCUUCAAAGAAUUCAUUGUUUAGAGCUAAUAUUCAUAUUUACAAUUGAAUGUUCAGUUUCACUUAUAUGGGUGGAAAAAUUGAUCAUUCUGUUAAUAAUGGUUCCAAACCUUACGUAGAAGUUCAAGAACAAUUGAGCCAAUUCGUGCGUCUACUAAAAUUGAAACUUUAUUAGCAUUAGGCGUACUCUUUAUCUUAUUUUUAUUGCCUUAAACCAUUUCCGUUUUUAACCUACUUCCAGAAACCUGAGUUUUCACGGUCAGUUUUGGUGCCCUAUGCCUCAUCACUUUCCGUCAUAUCUGAAGUUCCCUUCUAUAUUUGAUUUUGGUUUCCAAUUGUCAUGGACUUCUCAAUUUAACUGCUUUGCAUCUUUUGUGAAUUUUGAUGAAGGUAUAGCAUUGCAACUUUUGUCAAUGUUCGUGUACUUUACUGUAUUAAAUAAAAUUUUAAACACCACUAUAAAUUUUGCUCUGUAAUACUACUAGCUUGAGUUACUAACCCUAAUGCAAAUUUUUUUUUUUAAUUCUCUUUUUGCAGAUUCAUAGUAACUUCAUUAAUAAAUGAUGAAACUGAUGAGGCAUCAGCCAUCAUAAAAGGGAAACAAGCGGAGGAACUAUUUGGUACGACAUGUGAGGACCUCAUCCUCAACAAAAAUCAUGACAAUCCAAAUAUACUACCACAAAAAAUUCUCCGAAUAGAAGGCCAAAUCAAACUGCUGGAACUUGAAAUAGGCACUGCACAAAAUGUUAUUGUUAAGGGAAUACAUGAAGAUAUUCGUGGACUAAAUCUAACUCAAAGAUUCAGCCCUCGAGCUCAACAGCCGACAACAUCCAGCCCUUAAACUCAACACCCAACAAAGUUGCAACAACAAAAAAAAGGAACAUUCAAUCGUCUGAGUCACAAACAACUUUCCAAAACAUAUCCAACCAAAAAUCUCAAAAUGGGUGACAUCCUCACAGAUUCACUUGAAGACUCAUCUGAAGACCUGAUGUAAAUAGCUACCCGUCUUCACAUGUUUUGGCCAAGCCUAACCAUUUUUGGCACAAUGUACAUAAACAACUACUUGGUUAGCAUGCCUAUUUUUGGAAAUCUGGCUAAAUACCAGAUUUAAAAUCUAGAAAAGGCACCAGAUUUUUGGUUAGCAUCUGUAGCCUUUAACAUCUGCCUAUAAUGUAGUUUCAAUGUAAUAUAUCUAUAACGUAGAACAAUGUGUUUCAAUGUAAUAUAUCUAUAUAUUUGGAAUGUAAUUUUGAUGUAAAA